AUCCAAUUGACGAGCCCCCAACAGGACGAAAUGUGCAUCCUAGAU
rnacentral:hammerhead_ribozyme from 1 species